AAUUUGUCUGCACUGCUACAAUGCUUUUUUGGCUGAGAUAUCAUACAGAACGGGAAAUUUCACAGUCACUGUUAAUUAUGUCAUUUUCCAACGAGCCUGCCUUGAAAACGACUUUCCAAGUGCUGCCCGCAUCCAGCCAUUUACAGUUCCAUUAUGCACAUUGAACAGCACCACAUACAAGAAGAAAGAACAGGAGCUGGUUUCUUCAAAGCCUGACAAUGGUGAGAAGGUACUAUCGAUGAGAUGAGCUUGCAAGAUUCGUGUGUACAGUAUACCUUCACACCACCUAAGGAGCUAUUUCUCACUUGCUGCAUGUACUGAGAUCCCGGAGAAAACAAGAAAGAUAUAAAUAAAGUGUCAACAAAGAGGGUGAAAAAAAGAGGUGCAAGGUGGAGAGUGAACUAUACUCAACAUAAUAUGAGUGGGAAAUGGAUGAGUUUUUAAAGCUGUUUGCUCCAAAGCUAACAAAUCCUAAAUGAUAAAGGUGAAGGUAAAUUAAUUGUUCAGUUUGUUUCCUUAUAGGCUCGUUUCUGCUGUUGCUUAUCUAAGAGUGUAUAAGCUCAGCAUUAAAAAAAGCUACAGUAAGUACAUAGUUUCAUACAUUUAACUUUAUUUUAUCAGGUGACAAAAUAAAGAACAUUUUCAAAAUGAUUUAAAUGUACAAUUAAUUGAUAAAACAUAAUCAUGACGGAGCUAUACAGCUUUAAG